rnacentral:lncRNA from 1 species
CCGCAAGCGCCGCGCAGCCCGGGUUCCCGCCGGCGCCUCUCCCUCGGCGCCUCUCCCUCCACACCUCCCCGCAAGGUGAGGGAGCCGGCUCCGGCCUUGGCCAGCCCAGAAAGGGGCUCCCACAGUGCAGCGGUGGGCUGAAGGGCUCCUCAAGCGCGGCCAGAGUGGGCGCCAAGGCGGAGGAGGCCCGGAGAGCGAGCGUGGGCUGUGAGGUCGGCCAACACGCUGUCACCUCUCAGUAUCUUCUUAAAGAGGCUUACAAUAGUGGAAUAUGUUGAAUACUGAAGAGACUGAUUCACCUUGCUCUAAAGACCUGUGGUAGACAAACAUAUUUAAUGUAAGAUCUUUGCAUGGAUGUGUUCUUCAUUUAUCAUGGUACAUUCCUAGGAGUGGAAUUGCUGUGUCAUUACCUGCUCCUGCUUUGCCUUCCACCAUAAAUAAAAGCUCCCUGAGGCCACCCCGGAAGUGGAAGGAUGAUGGUGCCAUGCUUGUAUUCCCUGCAGAACCUGACUAAGUUCAUAAAGUUAAGCUGGAGCCAUUAAGCCCUUCACAGAAUCAUCUAUUUUGGAUGAUGAAGAAGUAUCUACUCUGGAAUUACUUCGUACAAAAAAAGAAGGUGGAGAACUGUCAGAGAAAUCAAAACAAAGACCUGAUUGAAAAAAUAUGAGAAAUUAAGUGGCCAUAAAUCACUAUGUUCAAAUGGUCUUCAUCUAAAACUUCUGAAAGAGUUAAAGAAGGAUGUAGCUAAGCUACCACCAAAAAUGUAUCAACACCUUCCAUCAAAGAGGAGGGUGAUGAAUGCCCAUCAAUCUUUAAGAACAGUUCAGUGUUACUUGUAAGGUUAGGUUUUAAUAAAAAACAUGGUGU